GCCCUUGUAGCUCAGUCGGUAGAGCAGCUGACUCUUAAUCAGCGGGUCCAAGGUUCGAGUCCUUGCAGGGGUA
rnacentral:tRNA from 2 species